GACGAACGCUGGCGGCGUGCCUAAUACAUGCAAGUAGAACGCUGAAGCUUGGUGCUUGCCCCGAGCGGAUGAGUUGCGAACGGGUGAGUAACGCGUAGGUAACCUGCCUGGUAGCGGGGGAUAACUAUUGGAAACGAUAGCUAAUACCGCAUAAGAGUAGAUGUUGCAUGACAUUUGCUUAAAAGGUGCAAUUGCAUCACUACCAGAUGGACCUGCGUUGUAUUAGCUAGUUGGUGAGGUAACGGCUCACCAAGGCAACGAUACAUAGCCGACCUGAGAGGGUGAUCGGCCACACUGGGACUGAGACACGGCCCAGACUCCUAAGGGAGGCAGCAGUAGGGAAUCUUCGGCAAUGGACGGAAGUCUGACCGAGCAACGCCGCGUGAGUGAAGAAGGUUUUCGGAUCGUAAAGCUCUGUUGUAAGAGAAGAACGAGUGUGAGAGUGGAAAGUUCACACUGUGACGGUAUCUUACCAGAAAGGGACGGCUAACUACGUG
rnacentral:rRNA from 1 species